ensembl:lncRNA
AAUGCAGCAAUUUAUUUUAUGAACAGAUCAAGGACAAGCAUUAAAUUCUCCUUGGAUGAUCCAGUAACAGGACUGAGGAUGUCACUUGUGAGGCAGAGAGUCAUAUUCACAGACAUAAUGAAAGACACAAGCAUUAUGUCACACACACAGUACACAUUUUAUGAUUGUGACCAUUUUCAAGAAGAAAACUAACACCUAUUCUCUUAACUGGAAAAACAUGGUUGACUCUGCCAUACUAAUUAUCUAGCUUCAUUGUCAUAAAGGCACUGAACUUUCCAAAAAACGAAUAUGUUUUAUGUGCACAGCACCGAAGCGGUGAUCUGAUUCUUUGCCAUCUAAAUAAAAUCCAUGUGAAUGGACUCAAAUUAGGACUGCAUGAAACAAGAUAAUGAAACAAUAUUUUUAAUGCUGUUAACACAUCUUUGUCACCUCGAAAAUAUUUCUCUUAAAAAAAAAUAUAUAUAUACUUUAUUUAUUAUCAGCAGAUAAUGAAAACACUCUUUUUUUCCAGUUUCUGAUAGGGUUUAAUCAUUAUUAAAUUGCAGUGCACGAAGGAGCAAGAAGGCAGAAAAUUGGCACAAGAGUCCUGAAACAAACUGUGCUGAAGGGCUGCAGCUUUUCAGCUGCACUAAUGUCAAUUUAUUAGUAAAUGCAACAUUUCCAAUGUUUUAAACAUUUGGUUUCACAAUAUUUUUUAAUUUGCAGGAAAAAUAUCAGUAAUGGCAUACUAGAAUUUUCUUUGUUAUCUAGAUGUGUACAGGCUCUCAGGGAGAUAUAUUUUCUCCCAAAUUACCUCAGAAUACACUAAAAUGUGUCAAAUCACUUUUUCCUAGGUAUUUGUACACAUGUGCUUCUAAAGGAUCUAUAAAGAAGGAAGCAAUGAUGCUCUGAAGGAAGUAUCCCUUUAAUUUCUUCAUUUACCAGCAGAAAACCUACAUAACCUCUGUCUUUUUGCUAAGGAAGACAAGCUUAAUCCUGUACCAUUCUUCUGCCUACCAGAAAUGUCACUGGAACUUCUUCCCUUCUCCAGGAGGUCUGCUUGUGAGUUCCUGUUAGUUCUACCAGGUUUAUGAGGAGCAUCAGUGGCCAGAAAGGUUAAUCACAGCAUUGUCUCUGCACCAUGAAUCUCUGAGAUUCUUCUAGGUGCUGAUAUGUUUCAGAACUCCAUUUGCUUUAGAAGUAGAGGCAAUGAAGAGCAAAAAGGUCAGUCAGACUUAUCAUGUCCACCUCAAAUGAGAAAAAAAAGGCCUCAGGUGUCAUGAACACACAAAAAAUGGUUGAUACUGCUGGAAAAACAGUAUCACUAGCAUUCUCUGUUUCUCCAGUGGCAGAGAGUAACUAAUCUAGUGUCAUAAAAAUGGGUAUAAAAUUAAUGAAAAACUUUCAUCUAGAAUGGUUUAUUUGCAGUUGUAGAGUACUACGUGCCACUGAUAUCAUUAAAUACCACAGGGACCCCUAAACCAACAUUCAGUGCACUGCAAGGCACGUUACUCUCUGAAAACUGGAUGGUUACUGCUAUAACCUAAGUAAGUAAUAAGUAGGUGAAUAUUUGUGUUUUAUAGUUUCUGAUGCUCUUGAUCCUAAUUCAGAAGGGUAUAAGGAGACACAUUUGCCUGGAAAGCAUUUGGUCAUAA